rnacentral:misc_RNA from 1 species
UUUACAAUACGCCGGAAGUUUACAUUGGUAACCUCAAGUUCUAACAAGACUUUCUGCUGGUUGAUACAUUGCCAACGAUAAGGAGGCUGUCGUAAUGAUGAAUGAUAAGGAUGAUACAGACUCAGAAUGGGACAGUACUCUAGACUUUACUUCUCCUCGACAAGAAAAUAAAGUAUCUCGCCCACCGGAAAUAGAAGAUGAAGAUGCAAGUCACCAUGAUUCCAUAAUGGACAAACCAAAACCAAAAGAGAGAACCACUGUUCCAUUCACAGAUCAAAAACCUGAAGACUAUACAUAUGCUGAAGUUGUCAGAAAAGAAAAACAACCACAGAAAAUAUCGAAAGAAAGUCCACCCCCCUACAACUUCAGGGCAGCUGUUUCUGGAAACAUCACUCCCCAGCAAAACGAUCCACCUCCCCCAGGCAAAGACAGAAAAGGAACAACAUAUGAUGUUUCAAAGACACCAAUACCAGUUUCUCAACAAGAGAGUAUAAUGAGUACUGGAUCUUGGGAUGACACUGAUGAAGAUGAGAAGACAUUAAAGGAAUUAAGAGAGACGUUUAAAACAGAAAAGAAGAAGGAGCAGGAAGCAGAGGAGCUAAGACUGAAGUUAGAGAGUCAAGCCGAAGAUAAGCCUGAUGAGGGUCAACUGACAAACAGAUCAGAGGCCACAUGGAAAAGCUGGGCCAGCUUUGGAAGCAAGCUUGGCAGAUCAUCCAACCGCAGCAACAAAGGAAAGAAAAAGAAAAAGGAGGGUAAGACAGUGCCAACAUACAAGGAUGAGGGUCAUUACGAUGCAGUAGAUAUCGCUCAGGUCAGGGCAGGAAUCCAGAGACAGAACCCUCCCCCAGUCAACGUAUUCCAGGCCCAACCCCAGAAAGAGGUCAAGGAACAGCCCGCGGAACCUGAGAAGAUUGAGGACGUCAAUUUCACGGACUUCAAGCCAGCCGCCAUGCCCCCACCUUAUAUUAUCAAGGAGGAAGCUGGUACGACGUACUACUUUGGGCACGGGGCAGUGCAGUAUCUGGAGGUGGACAAUGAAGAAGAGGAGGCCAUGAUGCCUAAACUUGCAGACAGGUUAGAAACAAUUUUUCAAAGAAUUUGGCAGGAGUUCUUUGGAGCGUUACGCAUUGUAACCAGCUUUUUCAUCUUGUUUGUGGUUGAACUGUUCAAAUAUAUCAUCAAAUAUGUCUUCCAGCCGAUAUUCAUCGGUAUUUUCAUCACGACCGGUGACUAUGUGAUGAAGCCAGUACUCUCGGUGUUGUUCAAUGGGUUUAUGCAUCCUACAGGAGUUUUCUGUUGGAACUGUUGUGUCACAACAAAAGUUGUGUGUAACCCGAUCGUCGAAAUUUUACGGAAAAUUCUUCUUCAGUUUGCAAUGUGCUGUCGAUCCGUGAGAUGUGCUCAGAUUUUCUGGAAAACGGGAGAAUAUGGACCAAGAACUAUUGAAGAGGAGGAGAUAUAACAUGUGUAAUCAAAACCAUACAGACAAAAUAUCUCCAUCAUAUAAGCUUUUAUUGACAUUAUCGAUAAUGUUGUUUUCUUUUUUGCAUAAUUACAAUAUAUUAUGCAUGCUUAUUAACAUUUGAUUUUAAUGGAUACAAGCUGUUACAAUAUAUCAGUUUGAAAGUAAAAAUGCAUUUAUAUUUGAAUAAUGUUGCCACAGAUCCUAAUUGCAAAUUUUUAAAAACAAACUCUACAUUUAAAAAUGUAAUGUCUGUAUUAAAGUUUUAAAAGAUUGCCAUUUUAUGUCUGUAAUAAAAUGAGAACAUAUCCGAAUUGAACAUUUCAUCAUCGAC